GACGAACGCUGGCGGCGUGCUUAACACAUGCAAGUCGAACGGAAAGGCCCUGCUUUUGUGGGGUGCUCGAGUGGCGAACGGGUGAGUAACACGUGAGUAACCUGCCCUUGACUUUGGGAUAACUUCAGGAAACUGGGGCUAAUACCGGAUAGGAGCUCCUGCUGCAUGGUGGGGGUUGGAAAGUUUCGGCGGUUGGGGAUGGACUCGCGGCUUAUCAGCUUGUUGGUGGGGUAGUGGCUUACCAAGACUUUGACGGGUAGCCGGCCUGAGAGGGUGACCGGCCACAUUGGGACUGAGAUACGGCCCAGACUCCUACGGGAGGCAGCAGUGGGGAAUAUUGCACAAUGGGCGGAAGCCUGAUGCAGCAACGCCGCGUGCGGGAUGACGGCCUUCGGGUUGUAAACCGCUUUCGCCUGUGACGAAGCGUGAGUGACGGUAAUGGGUAAAGAAGCACCGGCUAACUACGUGCCAGCAGCCGCGGUGAUACGUAGGGUGCGAGCGUUGUCCGGAUUUAUUGGGCGUAAAGGGCUCGUAGGUGGUUGAUCGCGUCGGAAGUGUAAUCUUGGGGCUUAACCCUGAGCGUGCUUUCGAUACGGGUUGACUUGAGGAAGGUAGGGGAGAAUGGAAUUCCUGGUGGAGCGGUGGAAUGCGCAGAUAUCAGGAGGAACACCAGUGGCGAAGGCGGUUCUCUGGGCCUUUCCUGACGCUGAGGAGCGAAAGCGUGGGGAGCGAACAGGCUUAGAUACCCUGGUAGUCCACGCUGUAAACGGUGGGUACUAGGUGUGGGGUCCAUUCCACGGGUUCCGUGCCGUAGCUAACGCUUUAAGUACCCCGCCUGGGGAGUACGGCCGCAAGGCUAAAACUCAAAGGAAUUGACGGGGCCCCGCACAAGCGGCGGAGCAUGCGGAUUAAUUCGAUGCAACGCGUAGAACCUUACCUGGGUUUGACAUGGAUCGGGAGUGCCCAGAGAUGGGUGUGCCUCUUUUGGGGUCGGUUCACAGGUGGUGCAUGCCUGUCGUCAGCUCGUGUCGUGAGAUGUUGGGUUAAGUCCCGCAACGAGCGCAACCCCUGUUCACUGUUGCCAGCACGUUAUGGUGGGGACUCAGUGGAGACCGCCGGGGUCAACUCGGAGGAAGGUGGGGAUGACGUCAAGUCAUCAUGCCCCUUAUGUCCAGGGCUUCACGCAUGCUACAAUGGCUGGUACAGAGAGUGGCGAGCCUGUGAGGGUGAGCGAAUCUCGGAAAGCCGGUCUCAGUUCGGAUUGGGGUCUGCAACUCGACCUCAUGAAGUCGGAGUCGCUAGUAAUCGCAGAUCAGCAACGCUGCGGUGAAAAAGUUCCCGGGGCU
rnacentral:rRNA from 1 species